rnacentral:tRNA from 6 species
GCGGAAGUAGCUCAGUUGGUAGAGCAUUAGCCUUCCAAGCUAAGGGUCGCGAGUUCGAACCUCGUCUUCCGCU